CGACUGGGGUGAAGUCGUAACAAGGUAGCCGUAGGGGAACCUGCGGCUGGAUCACCUCCUUUCUAAGGAUGAUCCUUCAGAUCAGCUCACGCUAUCUAUCGGAUCGUUUUAGAAACAUUCAGGGGCCAACAGUUUCAGGAUUGUUGAGCUCCAUUGGCGGGAUUUCGCCGUCUUCGUUUCUCUUUCUUCGCGGACGAACACGCGCCAGGGGCUGAGCGCUGUGCGAUGCACCGGCUUGAUGUCGAGUGCGCGCCGGCAUGUCUCUCGUGUUAGGGGCUUGUAGCUCAGUUGGUUAGAGCGCGCGCUUGAUAAGCGUGAGGUCGGAAGUUCAAGUCUUCCCAGGCCCACCAGCCUUCGCGCUUCGCUGCUUCGGCUAGGCAAGCCCUUCGAGAUGAAGGCUGCUGCGCCGCAGCCUUGGCGAAGGCGAGCGGGUAUCAACAAUGCGCUUCGUCUUCUGGUACGGGGCCAUAGCUCAGCUGGGAGAGCGCGUGCUUUGCAAGCAUGAGGUCGUCGGUUCGAUCCCGUCUGGCUCCACCAGAUGGAAUUGAAGCUUGGGAAUGCGCCUUGUGCAGGAAGCUCUGUUCAUUUCGUCCGCGAGACAUCACUUCGCACUCAUUGGUCCGGAUGGACGGUGACGUGCGUGUUUUCUGACAUCGUAAAGAGGAGAUCGAUCCGAGUUUGGAUCUGCGAAGCAAUUCGCGGGUACCAUUCCUAAUCUCCAGAUCGUUUUCGGCGCUCGCGCAUCGCGGCUCAUCGCAAGAUGAGUGGGGUGAGCGAGUUGUAAAACGAUCUUUGUAGCGAAGCUUGACCGCCUCGCUAUCGGGCCGAUCUUACGAAGCAAGCUGGUCUUUCUAGUCAAUGUCCGGCUGCGCAAUCGCAUUCAUCGAGGAUGCGUGCCUUCAGUGGCAGUUGUGCAGACAACAUUCUGCCGAGUGUGUGGACAUUGAUAAUGAGAGCAAUCAAGUGCCUUAAGGGUGUUCGGUG
rnacentral:misc_RNA from 1 species